rnacentral:piRNA from 1 species
UGAAUGUGAUACAGCACUGGCACUGA